rnacentral:SRP_RNA from 1 species
GCUGGGUGUGGUGACGUGCACCUGUAGUCCUAGCUACUCAGGAGGCUGAGGCAGGAGAAUCACUCGAACCUGGGAGGCGGAGGUUGCAGUGAGCCCAGAUAGCACCACUGCACUCCAACCUAAGUGAUAGAGUGAGACUCUGUCUCAA